rnacentral:lncRNA from 1 species
AGCUGAAUUACCCAUGUGAGCCCAGUAUAAUCACAGGGCCCUUAAAAGUGAAAGAGGGAGGCAGAGGAGGAGGUCAGAGAGAUUCCACGUGUAAAGGACUCAGCCCCGUUGCCGGCUCUGAAGAUGAGGAAGGAGCCAUGAGCCAAGAAAUGCAGGUGGCCUCUCUCAGCUGGGAAAGGCAAGGAAAUGGAUUCUUCCUUGGAGUCUCCAGAAGGGAACACAGCCCUGCUACCACCCUGAUCCUAGCUAGUGAGGCAUGUUUUGGACUUCUGACCUUCAGAACUAAUUUUGCUGACCAGUGGAGCAGAUGAGAAUCUCCUGUUUUGAGGCUCCCCAGGAGGCGAGCUACACCUUCUCCCUCAAGCAUCUUUUCCAGUCUCAUAGUUUUCAUUACCACUCGAGGAAGACAAUGAAUUCCAGGUUAUGGAGCCAGAAUUUAUUAGGCAGGCAAUGGAAGAGCAUCACAAAUUUGUGACCCACGGUUAAAGGUGGUAUUUGUGUGAGCGGCCAGGCCCUGUCACUCAGCCCCUCGCUGAGCCCCCUGCACGGAGCCCAACAUGGGGCUGUGUUUGAGAGGAUGCAGACGGAGGAGGCGGCACAGCCACAGCAACAAGGGAGGCUGGACACACCCACACGCCGAGAAGCCAGCAGUCCAGAAGGCCAGGAAAAGCAACCGGGAAGGAGUUACAACCAGAGAUGGCAGGGCAUGGUGUGGCAGAGCUGGAGGACCUUUGAGAUGAUCUGGUCCAACACCCAACACCCUCGCUUCAUGGAGUGGGCCACAACACCCAGAGGGUGUGGGAGACUUGCCCACGGCAUCCUGGGAGUUGGUCCCAGGCUGGACCCAGGCUCCGGACUCCCAUUCCAGCGCCUUGCCCAUGAUGUCUCAGAGCUUUGAGUGCAGGGUAAUAUAGGAACCAAUGACACAGAGGCUGCAGUGGGGACCUCAAAUUCAGGCCCCGGCUAUGGGGUGCCCAGCUUGUGGGGUAGAAGCCACGGUGUCUCCUCCUCCUCCUGGUCCCCACGGCCCAGCAUUGUCUGGGCAGGCUCUGCCUGGAGCGGGCAAGGCUCAUUGCAGGGCACUGGAAGCACUUACAGUCUUCUGGCUGAAAACCCUUCACACGUCUCUGCCGAUGCAUGUGAGGAGAGAG